rnacentral:rRNA from 1 species
GCCUACGGGAGGCUGCAGUGGGGAAUAUUGCACAAUGGGCGCAAGCCUGAUGCAGCCAUGCCGCGUGUAUGAAGAAGGCCUUCGGGUUGUAAAGUACUUUCAGCGGGGAGGAAGGUGUUGAGGUUAAUAACCUCAGCAAUUGACGUUACCCGCAGAAGAAGCACCGGCUAACUCCGUGCCAGCAGCCGCGGUAAUACGGAGGGUGCAAGCGUUAAUCGGAAAUACUGGGCGUAAAGCGCACGCAGGCGGUCUGUCAAGUCGGAUGUGAAAUCCCCGGGCUCAACCUGGGAACUGCAUUCGAAACUGGCAGGCUGGAGUCUUGUAGAGGGGGGUAGAAUUCCAGGUGUAGCGGUGAAAUGCGUAGAGAUCUGGAGGAAUACCGGUGGCGAAGGCGGCCCCCUGGACAAAGACUGACGCUCAGGUGCGAAAGCGUGGGGAGCAAACAGGAUUAGAUACCCCUGUAGUCCCG